rnacentral:lncRNA from 1 species
CCUGAAAACAAAUGAAGGCUGUAUGCUAACUUGGGCAAAGCUCUAAAGAAUAUGAAAGGCUUGAAAAUCCAUUACAAUCUCAACAUCUAUGAACACUAGUGAUCUUAAUUCAUAACAAAAUAUUUCAUAUUAACAAAUAAUAAAACUUAUAUAAUAUACAAAAUCCAGUCAUCUAAUCUGUCACAUCCCAAAUCCGGGACAUAACACGGCC